rnacentral:rRNA from 1 species
CAACUGGAGGAAGGUGGGGAUGACGUCAAGUCCUCAUGGCCCUUACGGGCUGGGCUACACACGUGCUACAAUGGUGGUGACAAUGGGUUGCGAACCCGCGAGGGCGAGCUAAUCUCCAAAAGCCAUCUCAGUUCGGAUUGUUCUCUGCAACUCGAGAGCAUGAAGUCGGAAUCGCUAGUAAUCGUGGAUCAGCAUGCCACGGUGAAUACGUUCCCGGGCCUUGUACACACCGCCCGUCACACCAUGGGAGUUGGUUUUACCCGAAGCCGGUGAGCUAACCGCAAGGAGGCAGCCGACCACGGUAAGG